rnacentral:rRNA from 1 species
AGAGUUUGAUCCUGGCUCAGAUUGAACGCUGGCGGCAUGCCUAACACAUGCAAGUCGAACGGCAGCAUGUUGUGUAGCAAUACACGAUGAUGGCGAGUGGCGGACGGGUGCGUAAUACAUAGGGAUCUGCCUUGAAGAGGGGGACAACCCGGGGAAACUCGGGCUAAUACCGCAUAAUACUCUGAGGAGGAAAGGGUUGG